rnacentral:misc_RNA from 1 species
AUCGUACACCAACCUGAGCGCAUUCGGUCGUAUUCCAAAAUCAUGAGACGGCCCACUCGGGGCAUUUUACCUUCUAAGCGGUAGGCCCCGUGAACCGGACGAGCAUGCAGGUCAUGCGCUUCGUGAUCCUCUGCACUAGUGCAUGCCGAGCCAAGGCCUGCAUCGCCAAACAGCGACGCAUGCCGCAUACAAUUACGAAGCGGAAACUCGGUCCGCAGGAUUCGUUCUAGCACCUGAUUUUCUUCAGUAUGACGAAGGCAGGCUUGCAUACGCCUACUGUUGCAGCACGAACGGACGACGAGACCGUAUCCUCGUCGGAUGAGCGGCGCCUCUGGCGGACGUCCUCAGCGACAUAACGAAGCCGUUCCCUCUGGACAUUCUAUCGGUACCGACGCUGGCAGCGUCCCAGGGGGCGCUCACGAUAGACUCCGCACCGGAUGGAACCAGCGAAAUGACCAAUAUCUCCGAGGGCAGACAUGGGUCCCGGAACUCGGUGGCAAGGCGUGGAGCCUCGGAUGCCUUCCCGAACGCAGAUACCCAUCGCGGAAUCGAGGCAUCACGGUUGGUGUACACACGAUCCUACAUCGAAUCUUUAGCCCUUCAAAAAACCAAAAAGGCUUCCACGGCACGGUGCCCAAAUUUGGAUGUGUUGCACUAUAUCAAGCACCAAUGCGCGCUUCAAAUUCGCACGAUAGCACACAAGUGAAAGCUUGCACGCAUCGGAGACAGCAGAUCGGACACGUGGCAGGAUGCAUGCAAUGCCGCAGCCUGCGAUGCGUGUCGCCAUCGACGUGCAUGCCAGUGCGGAAUCGCAGGAGAACACGUGUCCUUGGAAUGCACGCUGGGGUUGAAGAAAGAAGCAGCGGUGCAAAGCGUUCAGACUCGGAAAGUAGGGAUGUUUGGGGUCUGCGACAACGGCGACGUCACGGUGCACGCUUCAUAGGUCGUGUGCGAGCCGCGCGUGCUCUCGGGCAGUCCGCAAGAACAUAGACGCGGUAACCGGGUGGUUUCCGGAUUUGCUCGGCUUGAACUGAAGCAGACGCUUGUAGUGCAGGUUGACAUGCAUAAUGCGAGGUCGCGUGUUGGCGCUCGAGGCAAAGCUAGAGCAGACGAUUGAGCUUCAGAACCCGAGCGCGUGAUUUUAGCGACUCCGCGGUUCUUUUUGGGUGAAAACGACCGUGUUUGAGAAUACGCGACCACGAGCCGUAGCCGAAGAGAUCGAUCCCCUUUCGCAGUUCGGCAUCUUCUUCGGCUGUGAAGUGGACUUUGGCAAAGCUGUUCAAAGGCGGUGGUGGCUCCGGGAGGGUCCCAAUCUGGGAUAUCAGCUGCUCCGCUCGUUUCCGAACGGACUGGUAGCUCCGAUGCGGUUCCUGUAGCCGGUCCUGAAUACGAUUCAGGAUGAGUCGCCAGUGGCCCACGCCACAGGCCCGAAUGCCGUCAAGUAGCGCCUCGUCCUCUUCGGGGGUGUAUCGAACGAGGGGGCCGAGCUUGAUGCCGCCCUCAUUUGAUAAAGGAAGUUCAUGACCGCCUCUGGUCGCCGGCUUCGUUGGCUGCGGGGAACCAGGUCGCGUCAUAGGUGCCUGUGGCUGCGACGUAGGACGAGCUGGCUGUCUCCCGCCCGCAUCUGACUCGAAUGCCGGCGCAACAGGCUCAUGCACACGUUUCCGCCGUUUGUGCUCCGAUACCUUCUCCUGUGUAGCGACAUAUUCAUUCGUGGUCAGUGAUGAAGGGUGUCGGAAUAAGCGCGCCCCUUUUGCAGCAGGCAGACGGGGUGCGGCUUUUCCUCUCUGCCUUUUUUCAUCUGGUGCGUUGUAUCGCAAGGCCUCCGCAAUGGCAUCAUCUGUCGGAUCCACCUGUUUCGCAGCAGGUUCCCGGUCUUGGUCCGCGGCUGGUGUCGGAACUCGCGUUCUCGACUUCACAUGCUCGGUUUGCUGUUGAUCCACCGUCGACGACGCUUCCUGAACCCGCGUUGACGAUCCUGUGCGCCCAUGCUGCGCAAACGCUUCAUCCAGCGCAGAUUCAGCGUGUUUUGUUCCACGAGGUGCUGGUGGUACCGCAGCGCUGGCUGGCGGCGUCGACGUUUGCGACCUCGAAGCGCUCUUCUUGGUCGCGAGCGCGGUGGUCUGUGCCGCUUGCUCACCAACUGCAACAGCUACUGGGGCAGGUCGUAUUUCCGCUCUUUUUCCCGGUGAUCGCGAAAGGUUCUCAUUCCCGGUUUGCGUCCUCUGCGGCCGUGCAGUCGUCUCAGAGAGUGCUUCGGAAUCGAGUCUCGACGGAGAUGCGGCUUCAUGCCCAUGCGGAUUCGCAGCGUUGUGCCUUUCGAGCAUCGCAAGCGCUUCCAGCGCUGCAGUCAACGGUGGCUUUCCAAGCCAUUCAAGAAGCGCUUCCACAUACUCCGUGGCCAUUGGGAGCAGGCGGUCCUCUGGAAAAAGCGAUGUCGCCAGCUGUCGCUGAUCCAGACCAAGAUACUUGUUGGCAGAAGCCGACGAUUUCUUCGCCUUCGAGGAAGACUUUUGCGAAAGCGGACUAUGCUUUUUCGCGAAUAUCGCUUCCAACUCGUGCAAUCUCACACGCGCCAGACCGGAUGCGUACGAUGGAUCCUCCUGCACGAGUUCUUCUAAAGGUUCCAGGUCUACCUGCCAGGUUCCACGGUUUUGCAACCGCUCCAUUGCGUCCAUGAGCACAUAUUGGGUGAGUAGUUCCAACAUAAACCGCUGGAACAGAUCCUGACACUUCUCGAAUGAGCGCGGAUGCGAUGAAUGGAUGACAUUCGCCACUUCGAGAACC